rnacentral:tRNA from 1 species
AGCCUAGUGGUAACGUUUCCGCCUCGUAAGCGGUAGAUCGGGGUUCAAAUCCCUG